GGACGAACGCUGGCGGCGUGCUUACCCCAUGCAAGUCGAACGGAAAGGCCCUGCUUUUGUGGGGUGCUCGAGUGGCGAACGGGUGAGUAACACGUGAGUAACCUGCCCUUGACUUUGGGAUAACUUCAGGAAACUGGGGCUAAUACCGGAUAGGAGCUCCUGCUGCAUGGUGGGGGUUGGAAAGUUUCGGCGGUUGGGGAUGGACUCGCGGCUUAUCAGCUUGUUGGUGGGGUAGUGGCUUACCAAGGCUUUGACGGGUAGCCGGCCUGAGAGGGUGACCGGCCACAUUGGGACUGAGAUACGGCCCAGACUCCUACGGGAGGCAGCAGUGGGGAAUAUUGCACAAUGGGCGGAAGCCUGAUGCAGCAACGCCGCGUGCGGGAUGACGGCCUUCGGGUUGUAAACCGCUUUCGCCUGUGACGAAGCGUGAGUGACGGUAACGGGUAAAGAAGCACCGGCUAACUACGUG
rnacentral:rRNA from 1 species